GAUGGCGACCAAGACGGUGGUGCACCAUAAGUGGAAGAUUGCUGAACUAAAGCAAGAAUGUCUUCCUUGUGGUUUGGAGACCAAGGAAAUGAAACAAGAUGCCAUCAAAAGGCUCCAGGAAGAUGUACUGGGAGAUGAAACAGAGGAAGAAGAAACAAAGCCCCAUAGAAAUCCCUGUCAAAGAGGAAGAACUCCCUGAAAAAACUGUUGACGUGGAAGCAGAGAAGAAAGUGGUAAAAAUUACAUCUGAAAUACCACAGGGAGAGAGAAUGCAGAAGAGGGCUGAACAAGUCCAUGUACCCGUGAGCUUGUAAAGUAAGAAAACUGCCCGGGCAGCUAGGUUUGGGACUUCUUCAGUUUCAACAAAAGGUCUGUCAUCUAACAACAAACCUAUCAUGAACCUGGAUAAGCUAAAGGAAAGAGCUCAAAGAUUUGGUUUGAAUGGCUCUUCAAUCUCCAGAAAGUCUGAAGAUGAUGAGAAACUGAAAAGGAGGAAGGACUGAUUUGGGAUUAUCACUGGUUCAGCUGGAACCAGAAGG
rnacentral:lncRNA from 1 species